UACCACACAAGGAAGAGGAGACCACUGCCAGGAUACAGGGUAUCCACUAUGUCAACAGGCCAACAUUGGCCAAAGUGAAUUAUAGUUAGUCUCAAUCCCGAUACAAAAAAAGACAACACUACUUGUGAAGAAGAGUCCAGGGAGUUGGGAUCAACUGAAGCCAACCACUGAAUAAAGGAUGACAGCAGGUAUAGAUAGAUGCCAAAUUGUGGACGACCACACAAUGAUGAGGAGGCCAUUACCAAAAUACA